UACGUAGGGAGCAAGCGUUGUCCGGAAUCAUUGGGCGUAAAGCGCGCGUAGGUGGCCCCGUAAGUCCGCUGUGAAAGUCAAAGGCUCAACCUUUGAAAGCCGGUGGAUACUGUGGGGCUAGAGUACGGAAGAGGCGAGUGGAAUUCCUGGUGUAGCGGUGGAAUGCGCAGAUAUCAGGAGGAACACCAUAGCGAAGGCAGCUCGCUGGGACGUUACUGACACUGAGGCGC
rnacentral:rRNA from 1 species